AAAACAAGUGCUAUCUUAAAUAGCCGACAUCUAUUUUGCUUUCCGAGUAGUGCCCCAAUGGGGCUUUUUUUUAUUCAG
rfam:Haemophilus influenzae Rd KW20, complete genome.